GAUGAACGCUGGCGGCGUGCUUAACACAUGCAAGUCGAACGGUGAAGGCGGAGCUUGCUCUGCUGGAUCAGUGGCGAACGGGUGAGUAACACGUGAGCAAUCUGCCCCUGACUCUGGGAUAAGCGCUGGAAACGGCGUCUAAUACUGGAUACGAGCUGCGAAGGCAUCUUCAGCAGCUGGAAAGAACUUCGGUCAGGGAUGAGCUCGCGGCCUAUCAGCUUGUUGGUGAGGUAACGGCUCACCAAGGCGUCGACGGGUAGCCGGCCUGAGAGGGUGACCGGCCACACUGGGACAGGGACACGGCCCAGACGCCUACGGGAGGCAGCAGUGGGGAAUAUUGCACAAUGGGCGAAAGCCUGAUGCAGCAACGCCGCGUGAGGGACGACGGCCUUCGGGUGGUAAACCUCUUUUAGCAGGGAAGAAGCGAAAGUGACGGUACCUGCAGAAAAAGCGCCGGCUAACUACGU
rnacentral:rRNA from 1 species